AAAACUUUCAACAACGGAUCUCUUGGUUCUGGCAUCGAUGAAGAACGCAGCGAAAUGCGAUAAGUAAUGUGAAUUGCAGAAUUCAGUGAAUCAUCGAAUCUUUGAACGCACAUUGCGCCCCUUGGUAUUCCGAGGGGCAUGCCUGUUCGAGCGUCA
rnacentral:rRNA from 1 species